rnacentral:rRNA from 1 species
ACAUGCAAGUCGAACGAACUUAACCAUUAGUUUACUAUUGGAGCGGUUAGUGGCGGACUGGUGAGUAACACGUAAGCAACCUGCCUAUCAGAGGGGAACAACAGUUAGAAAUGACUGCUAAUACCGCAUAUGCCUUAGAAUCACAUGGUUCAAAAGGGAAAGGAACAAUCCGCUGAUAGAUGGGCUUGCGUCUGAUUAGCUAGUUGGUGGGGUAACGGCCUACCAAGGCGACGAUCAGUAGCCGAACUGAGAGGUUGAACGGCCACAUUGGGACUGAGAUACGGCCCAGACUCCUACGGGAGGCAGCAGUCGGGAAUAUUGCGCAAUGGAGGAAACUCUGACGCAGUGACGCCGCGUGCAGGAAGAAGGUUUUCGGAUUGUAAACUGCUUUAGACAGGGAAGAAAAAAGACAGUACCUGUAGAAUAAGCUCCGGCUAACUACGUGCCAGCAGCCGCGGUAAUACGUAGGGAGCAAGCGUUAUCCGGAUUUAUUGGGUGUAAAGGGUGCGUAGACGGGAAGUCAAGUUAGUUGUGAAAUCCCUCGGCUUAACUGAGGAACUGCAACUAAAACUGAUUUUCUUGAGUACUGGAGAGGAAAGUGGAAUUCCUAGUGUAGCGGUGAAAUGCGUAGAUAUUAGGAGGAACACCGGUGGCGAAGGCGACUUUCUGGACAGAAACUGACGUUGAGGCACGAAAGUGUGGGGAGCAAACAGGAUUAGAUACCCUGGUAGUCCACACCGUAAACGAUGGAUACUAGGUGUAGGG